CAUGCAUCUCUCCAGCAAGUAUCAGCUCAGCCAGUUGUUCAUCGUGUCAUGGAUGCAUAUGCCCAAGAAUUUAUUCCCCCUUCUGCUACUGUCAAGUACCCACAGGCCCUCUCAUCUCUCUAUGACCCAGACAGUUUGGACCUGACUUACCCUCAACUUUUUCAGAAAUGUGCUACUGUCAGUGACUCAAUAAAGAUAACAACACAGCAGUGUCAAAUUGUGGAAGAAGGAACUAAUGGUCAGGCUAACUGCAAGAUCUGGUUGCCCAGAGAGCUGGUUGUAUUAUUGCUUCAAAUUCCAAAAGUGCUGCAAGAACAAAUCCUGCUAUGCCAUCAGCAAGUCUCAUCAAGAAAAUUUGCUAUCCAGAGGCAUUUCGGUUCUCAAUUGCACCAACAAGGUGGGGAUGUGAUCGUGAGAAGGAAGCAAAGGAUGCAUAUUGCUGUCAGGAGAGCCCUAAGCAUCAAGACCUGGUGGUGAAAUAUUGUGGCCUCUACAUCAGCCCCCAACAUCCUUUUGUAGGGGCAUCCCCUGAUGGUCUCCUAAUCUGCAAAUGCUGCCAACCUCGUCUCCUUGAAAUCGAGUCCCCUACUGCAUACCAGAUAGCCUUCCUAUCACAGAAGAACCAAAAGGUCUUUGUAUGGGGAGGAAAGAUGGUUGCUGGCAACUGAAAAUGGGCCACCAGUAUUAUUACCAAGUUCAAUGCCAAUUGAAUGUUUGUGAUGUAGAAAUAGGAGUGUUUGUGUUGUGGACAAGGGAAGGCCUUACUGGCCAGGAGAUCACAAGAGAUACCUUCUUUUGUAAAGAUGCUAUGGGGGCAGUGAACUCAUCAUUUGUAACUGGUGUCCUUCCAGAUUUGAUUGGGAAAUGGCUGUGUCGGAAACCAGUGCAAUCUUUGACAGGAAAUGUACAGAUACCAGAACCAGAGGCAACAAGUCGUGACAACAGGGAUGAAAACCACAGGCUGUAGUGCUACUGUGAAAAACCAUCAUUUGGACAGAUGAUUAAAUGUGAGAAUAAGAAGUGCAGCAUAAUAUUGUUUCACAUGGAGUGACUUCUGAUACGCGUACCUCCCAAAGGAAAAUGGCUCUGUCCACACUGCAGAAAAGUGCCUAAGUAUUCUGACAAGAAGUCCCAAAAUGGUCAGAUACAGCAAAAUGAGUCUUGAAGACAAGUGUAACAUGGCCAAAAAAGCUUGGACACAGCAAUAAUAAUGUCAUACAAAUAAUUUAUUUUAAGAAUAAGCCUUCAAAAUGUACAGCAUUUGAAUUAAAGACAUAUACAAAUGAUGAUGGAAGGUGAAAUAAAUGAUCUUGAUAUUUCA